GACUUCGUAGCUCAGUUGGUAGAGCAUUGGACUAGUAUCGCAAAGGUCGUGGGUACGAUUCCCACCGUGGUCG